rnacentral:misc_RNA from 1 species
GAUGAAGAACGCAGCGAAAUGCGAUAAGUAGUGUGAAUCGCAGAAUUCAGUGAAUCAUCGAAUCUUUGAACGCACAUUGCGCCCUUUGGUAUUCCAAAGGGCAUGCCUGUUCGAGCGUCAUUUGUACCCUCAAGCUUUGCUUGGUGUUGGGCGUCUUGUCUCUAGCUUUGCUGGAGACUCGCCUUAAAGUAAUUGGCAGCCGGCCUACUGGUUUCGGAGCGCAGCACAAGUCGCACUCUCUAUCAGCAAAGGUCUAGCAUCCAUUAAGCCUUUUUUUCAACUUUUGACCUCGGAUCAGGUAGGGAUACCCGCUGAACUUAAGCAUAUCAAUAAGCGGAGGA